rnacentral:rRNA from 1 species
GUGGGGAAUAUUGGACAAUGGGCGAAAGCCUGAUCCAGCCAUGCCGCGUGAGUGAUGAAGGCCUUAGGGUUGUAAAGCUCUUUCAGUAGGGAAGAUAAUGACGGUACCUACAGAAGAAGCCCCGGCUAACUUCGUGCCAGCAGCCGCGGUAAUACGAUGGGGGCUAGCGUUGUUCGGAUUUACUGGGCGUAAAGCGCACGUAGGCGGAUUGGUCAGUUAGAGGUGAAAUCCUGGAGCUCAACUCCAGAACUGCCUUUAAUGCUGCCAGUCUAGAGUCCAGAAGAGGUGAGUGGAACUCCUAGUGUAGAGGUGGGAUUCGUAGAUAUUAGGAAGAACACCAGUGGCGAAGGCGGCUAACUGGUCUGGUACUGACGCAGAGUUGCGAAAGCGUGGGGAGCAAACAGGAUUAGAAACCCUGGUAGUCC